rnacentral:rRNA from 1 species
AUUGAACGCUGGCGGCAGGCUUAACACAUGCAAGUCGAGCGGAAACGAUGGUAGCUUGCUACCAGGCGUCGAGCGGCGGACGGGUGAGUAAUACUUAGGAAUCUACCUAGUAGUGGGGGAUAGCACGGGGAAACUCGUAUUAAUACCGCGUACGACCUACGGGAGAAAGGGGGCAGUUUACUGCUCUCGCUAUUAGAUGAGCCUAAGUCGGAUUAGCUAGAUGGUGGGGUAAAGGCCUACCAUGGCGACGAUCUGUAGCUGGUCUGAGAGGAUGAUCAGCCACACCGGGACUGAGACACGGCCCGGACUCCUACGGGAGGCAGCAGUGGGGAAUAUUGGACAAUGGGGGAAACCCUGAUCCAGCCAUGCCGCGUGUGUGAAGAAGGCCUUUUGGUUGUAAAGCACUUUAAGCAGUGAAGAAGACUCUUCGGUUAAUACCCGGAGACGAUGACAUUAGCUGCAGAAUAAGCACCGGCUAACUCUGUGCCAGCAGCCGCGGUAAUACAGAGGGUGCAAGCGUUAAUCGGAAUUACUGGGCGUAAAGCGAGCGUAGGUGGCUUGAUAAGUCAGAUGUGAAAUCCCCGGGCUUAACCUGGGAACUGCAUCUGAAACUGUUAGGCUAGAGUAGGUGAGAGGGAAGUAGAAUUUCAGGUGUAGCGGUGAAAUGCGUAGAGAUCUGAAGGAAUACCGAUGGCGAAGGCAGCUUCCUGGCAUCAUACUGACACUGAGGCUCGAAAGCGUGGGUAGCAAACAGG